rnacentral:rRNA from 1 species
AAGUGACUAAGCGUACACGGUGGAUGCCUUGGCAGUCAGAGGCGAUGAAGGACGUAUUAACUUGCGAUAAGCCCAGAUUAGGCAGUAAAAGCCACUUGAGUCUGGGAUUUCCGAAUGGGGAAACCCAACUGCAUAAGCAGUUACUGUUAACUGAAUACAUAGGUUAACAGGGCGAACCGGGGGAACUGAAACAUCUAAGUACCCCGAGGAAAAGAAAUCAACCGAGAUUCCGAAAGUAGCGGCGAGCGAAAUUGGACUAGCCCUUAAGCUUUACACGCGUUAGACGAACGGUCUGGAAAGUCCGACGAUACAGGGUGAUAGUCCCGUAGUUGACGACGUGUGUUCAG